rnacentral:lncRNA from 1 species
GUGCAGAAAGCUGUGACGGUGCAGCAGCCACACACAUCCGCAGUCCAGUACUACAACCAGCGCCGCAGCUGCCGCACAUACUUAUCCUCUGCCGGUCAUCAGCUGGCAGACGGACAAGACGGCUGCGUCAAGUUGUAUGCGGACGGCCAGCUUCCCAGCCACGUUGGCCCCGCAAGCAUCGAGCUGUACACCUCUCCGGCCGACGGCGUGUGGCAUCCGGACUCCCUGCGGCCCAGCAUGCUGUGGGGCGGCAGCGGCAGCACCGCCGACAGCGGCAGCGGCCUCCCGUCGUACUUCAACCCGUUCGCGGCCGUGAACGAGAACACCAUUGAGGAAUUCUUCACGGAGCGGCUGCCGGACAGCGCGGCGGCGCUGCAGUGGGCGGCGCACCAGCGCAUCUCGGCGCAGGCCACACCGCCCGAGCGCAGCAACUGGGCACUGGCGGGCCAAGGUGUGUCACCAGACGUAGACAGGGCAGGUGCCUGCGGGUAAACACUACGGUACUGCUGGGCGCUUGAACCUACGACAGCUGUAAGGUUCACGGUUAGUUGCGGAGCCAUGUAAGCCUGCCCAUGCCCCCUAUCCUGUGCCUGCAGACGCCUGCCCGGCGGAGCUGCUGUCCAAGGCCGCCUUCCUGCAGUUCGGCCGCAUGCGCGCCUACCCGCUGCAGCAGCUGCGAAACCUGUGCGAGGUGCUGCGGCGGCAGGACCAGGCGCUGCCGCUUACCGAGCCGGCGGUGCAGGUCCUGCUGCGUCAGCUGCUGUUUCAUGUCGGCGCCUUGACCAUCGACAGCAACAUCAGCACUGAUGGCGCCCGGCCACAGCUGAUUUGGCGCACGGGCUGGGAGCAGCCCGGGGACGUGCUUGACACGCUGUGCUCGGAGCUGGGGGCCCUCGCCGACACCCUGGACGGCAAGGUGCGCGACCACGACGCCAUCCUGCUGUUGGGCGAGAUGGCGGCGUACCUGGCGGACUGGCACUCGCCAUGCAGCGCCGUGGCGCGCCGCUUUGCCGCGAUCGCCAUGCUUGAGGCGGACCGGAUGCAGGUGGAGCUGGAUGCAGCUGCGGGGCUGGCGGCAGACGAUCGGCGCGUGUCAGAGCUGCUGGCGCGGCUGGUGCGCUGGCGGGUGAUGGCACUGUUAUGCUACGGCGCCGGACCGCUGUCGCCCGCUGCUGCCGGCCGCGGCGCACGGCAGCAGCAGAGCAAGGACGCAGCCACAAUGGUGCGCCUGAUGGUGCAGGUCUGCCACGGCCUGACGUUUCAGACGGACAGGGCCAUGCAGCAGGAGCUAGAGCUUCUGCGCACUCGUGCGCACAACGUCAUGGCGUCCCGCGUGCAGCGCCUUGGGGAGCUGCUCACAUCUGAGGAUCUCACGGCGGCAGUGGCGAGCGUAUUGGAGCGCACGCCUGACUCGCUGCUCUGGCAGCGCCUCAGUCAAGCGCAGCAGCUCACAGCCUGCUACCGGGCUGAGGGCGCGGACGGGCGGCUCUACUCCAUCAACAUCCUGGACGGGACUGUGCUCUUCGACGGGUGGCCGCCCAGCCGGCUGCCCAAGGACAUUACUCAGCAUCCGCUGUACAAACGCACCUUCGGCAACUUCAACUUCGAGGUCGCAUUCACCGGCGGGGCAAGCUCGGCAAGUCAGGGCGGCGGUGCGGUGGUGCUACAGACGCUGCGCAAGGUGCGGGGCCGGCGCUACGACUUCCGCCUUUGCGCCGCAGCAGGUGGCAAGCAGCAGCAACUCGUGAUCACGGAGAUGGACGUGGAACACGGGGACGAGCGGCUCGAGCUGCUGGACGCGGGGCCGGACAGCAGCUGCGAGGGGUGGGGCGAGCAGCUGCCGGUGAGGCUGCGGGAGCUGCACAGCCACUGGCUGAGCCGGCAGCGCGGCGUGCUGGUGUUGCGGCCUCGCAGUUUCCAAGAGCAUGACUGCAUGUACGUCAUCACGUGCAUGUCAAUUAAAAGCAGUGGCAGCGUAGGAGGAAGCCUCCCAGUGCCCGUUAACACGGCCACACAGUGUGCGUACAGUUGCUGGCGUGUGCCGCGGCACUCGCAGUCGUGGCUCUGGCGGCAGCUGCUUCUUGCGGCGCCACCACUGCUGGUGGACCGCCUAGUGCUGCCGCAGGGCUCUAAGCUAGUGGACAACAUCCUGGCCAAAUUUGAGGAGCCGCGCUUCAUCCAUACCUUCCUCAGCGUCUCCAGCGAGGUUUCAUUCGAGCUGCCGCGCUGCGGCCUGGAAUUCAGCAUGCAGAGGAAGCGGCCGGGAUCUUUUUUUUGGGGUGGCGGCGAUGCCUGCUGCCAGCUCAUCUCACGCAACUACACUGGCUAUCGCUUGCGGCGGUUACAGCUGCUUGCGGAGUGCUGCGGCGUGAGUGGCUCCGCGGCAGGGGCGUGUGGCGACAACGGCAGCAACAGUAGCAGCAAUGCUGCAGCUGCAGCCGCGCGAGGCAUCUACACGCUGCCUGAGUUCCGACAGUACCUGGUCCUGGAGCGUAUCCCGCAGCCUGCGGUGGCGUCCAUGGGAGGUCAGCGCGCAGACGUGCUGGUGCUCGUGCCGGCGGGCGCAGUGCAAAGCAGCCUGUGGGAGGAAGGCAGCGGUGGAAAGGUAGCAGUCAGCGUCACCCUCCCCUCUGGCAGCCAGGCAAGCGUCAACUUCCACUGCUACGAAGUUCACGGGCGUUUCGGCCACCUGCGUGCGCCCAACCGCCUGGCGCGGCUGCAGCUGGCGGCGUUGUACGCCGCCACCUCCACGCUGCUGCCGGAGCCGGGCAGUCGCUGCACCGGGGCCCAGAUGGCCAUGGAGCUGCUGCGGCAGUGCUGGAGCACCCGGCCGCUUGAGGCGGCUGAGGCGGAACAGCUGGCGGCGGUGGGGCGCUUAGGCGGGCACCUGGCGCCUGGGUUGCAUUUGCUGGCACAUGACCUCGCGGCCAGUGCCGUGCAGCUCGCGCACCUGCAUGCGGUGCCGGCGGACAAACCUGCGGCGGCUGCAGCCGACGGCCCAGGCGCUGCCGGCGGUGGGGACAUUGCUGCCCGCUUUGAUGCGCAAGACACCGCCAUCAUGCCCCGGCUGUGUGCCGACCAUGCUCAAGCCUACGAGGAGCUGCAGAGGUCCGCACACGCCGCCCUACCGCCUGGCUGGGGCGCACACCCGCGGCUGCUGCUGACGCCCGUGGAGGAGGAGCGGACUGUGGGUGUGCACGUGCCUCGUGAACCCCUGCCCGCGUGGCAUCGGUUGCGCCAGUUCGAGGCCAUUGCUGCGCUUGGCGAGGCCCUGCCGCUGGCAGUUAGCUAUGUGGAGGAUACGGAGGCAGAGCUGCAGGACUUGCUACUGCCGCCGGCACCCGCAGUGGAUGGCGCCAGCAGCCAGGCGAUGCCGCCCUACCCGCUUUCAGCGGCGGCUCGUGUGCGUCAACGGCGGCACCUUGAGGCGGAGAUGCACGCUGAGCUGGAGGACAGCUGGAACGCCCACCAUUUGCAGCGGGACCUUGCGACGUACAGCGUCAAGCCCGGGUGCCUGGACCGCGUGCGGGCAAUGCAGGCAAGUACGGUAGUGCUAGCAUCCAGGACGGCGGCCCUGUUGUGCGCAGCCUUUGUCAUUGACCACCGUUUGCGGCUGAGUACACCCCUGCUCGUGCGUUUCCGCUGCUGCAGGCUACGACAAGCCGCCACCGCCGCAACCUGGAGGCCCACCUGCUGCACCAGCUAAUGCAUGUGCCCGAGUCUGUGGGCUGCCAUGGAGCCAGCAUCCGCUUGCUGCGCGCCGCAGCCACCGCUCCCGCAGCCGGGCCCCUCGACCUGGCCCGUGUGGCGGUGCGCCCAGAGCUCGUCAAUGAGUUCAACCCCUUCCUAUCGCCGGAAGCGGCGCAGGAGCUGCAGCGGCGGGUGCGGUUGUGGCUGAGGCUGUGUGUGCUGGAGGACAGGCUCGGGCGAAUCGUGGCGCUGGCGGCGGCGCGGAGGGCGGAAGGCGACUGCCUGCCACAACUGGUGCAGGUGCGCAGGGGAGACGGCUUGAUGUGUUCUAAUCUUGUGCUGCACGACAUAAACGUAUUCUACGCCAAUCCGCUUGUUUGCAGGAGCUGAGCGUGCACCGCACGUGGGACGCGGCGGCGCACCCCGAGUGGCUGGUGUUCGAGGUGGAGUCGCAGCUGCAGAUCCGGCCGCAGCAGCACACCGUGGCCCGCAUGCUGAUGGAGGGCGGUGACGGGCCCAUCGCGCAGCUCAACAUGGGCGAGGGCAAGACGCGCGUCAUCCUGCCCAUGCUGCUGCUGGCGCUGGCGGACGGAAAGCGGGUGGUGAGUCCCUACCAGCUCACCUGUACAACGCACAUGCAAAUACUUGCCUGAUACAUGAGGCUAACCCACGCUUGCAUCCUCAGGUGUCGCUGACGUUCCUGUCCACGCUGCUGGAUGAGGCCUACGCCUACCUACACGGGGCGCUGUGUGCGGGCGUGCUGGGCCGCAAGCUGUUCACGAUGCCCUUCCAACGCGACAUCGAGCUGACACCGGCGCGUGCCAUGCGCAUGCGUGCAGCCCUGGCGCACUGCAUGCGAGUAAGUGGCCGGCCACCGUGCCGUGCAGAGUUCAGCUUGAAUAUACUUGCACGUGUAAGAAACGCCCACCAACAUCCGAUCCAGUAUCAGCACUUGUCUACCUGCGUGCCCUCAGGAGCGCGGUGUGCUGCUGCUUGCACCGGAGCACCGCCUGUCGCUGGAGCUCAAGUGGAAGGAGUACCUGCUGCAGCUGCGGCAGGCAUCGGUGCCAGCAGCUGCAGGCACGGGCAGUAACGGCGGCGACGUGGAGGCGCUGCUAGCCGCUGUGCUCAAGACGCCGGUCCUCAGCAUCCUGGACGAGAGCGACGAGCUGCUGCACCACAGGUGCGAAGUAGUCCUUGAUUUGGCACGUAUGGGCACGACACUGGUGUAAACCUCACAACUCGACGGAGCGUUGACUGCUGACUUCGUCUGCUGUUGCAACAGGUUCCAGCUCAUCUAUGCGUGCGGCGGCAGGGUUCCCCUGGUGUCCUUCGAGGCCCGCACCGGCGCCAUGCGGGCCGUGCUGGGUGCUGUGGCCCAGCUCGCCAACAGCGGCCAGCUGCAACUCCCGCACUCCACUCGGGUCCUGGAGCCGCCGCCUGCUGUGGACCCUACCGACGCAGAAUGCUCCGUGGGCUCUGCUGCUGUUCCGGCGGGCGCGUUCUGCGGCCUGCGGCUGCUGCCGGGCCCGGACCUGGAGGCCGCACUGCCCGCCUUCCACCAUCAGCUGGCGCGUCACGUGCUGGACCACCCGCCCUUCGAAUUCCAGAAGCUGACGAAGCUCCUGGACGAGGGUUCAAAGGUCGGUGCAUGGCUUGCGCUGCCGUUUCUGUUGCUGCCUGGUGGUUGAUUGUGCGGUACCUGCAGAGCCGCCCGAACCCCUGGUACCGCCCAUGCGUGUGCACAGGUGCGGGUCAUGACCUGCAUCACUGACGCGGACACGGAUGCGGAGACUGCGUUGGGCGCGGAGUUGCUUGACAAGCUGGCUGGCGGGGUGCUGCACUCGUUUGUGCUGGCGCUGCGCGGGCUGCUGGGCUGCGGCCUCCUGCGGCACGGGCUGACGCUGCGGCACAACGUCGAGUAUGGCAUAGACAGGUACGGUGCACCCUCAGGGCCUCGGGCUAUGUCACGCUGAAGAGUAACAUGGCAACUCCACCUGCCCUUGCCGAGUAAAGCGUGUGCUCACAAAAUGCCUGUCUGCAGACGCACGGCCGCUGCUGGUGUCCGCACGCGCAUGGCCGUGCCGUACCGUGCCGCGCACACGCCCUCGGAGCGCUCCGAGUUCGCGCAGCCCGACGUGUCGCUGCUGCUGACGCACCUGGCCUACCGCUAUGAUGGGCUGACCCUGCCCGAGUUCACUGCCGCGGUGGAACGGCUGCUGCACGGGCUGGGCAAGGAGGCGGCUGCCGACCACUACCGGGAGUGGCUGGUGCUGUCGGCUGAGAGCAUCCCGAAGGGUGAGUUUGUAGCAUGCCGAAAUGCGCUCCUGCCCAAUCAAAGCUCGGCCCGACUCAUGGACAUGAUGCGUAAUCGUUUCGCUCGCGCUUUUUCUGUGGCCUCGUGAAACUGCAGAGGAGCUGUCUCGCUUCAAGGAUGUGAACCAGCUGGACGCCAGCAGCGGCUCCCAGAUGGCGGCCAUGCACCGCCACCUGCGCCGCAACACCGCUGUGGUGGACUUCUGGCUGCGCUUCUGUGUGCUGCCGGCCGAGACGCGGCAGUACCCGCAGCGGCUUGGCGCGAGUGCCUGGGACCUGGCGGCGGCAGGUGGCCGCGUCAUGGGCUUCAGCGGCACCAACGACAACUACCGGCUGCUGCCGCUGCGUGUGCGCCAGGCGGCGGCGGAGGACCCUGCGCUGAAGGCCACCAACGGCAAGAUGCUGUCCGUCCUCCUGCAGAACACCCACGGCUUCCACACGCUGCCGCCCGCGGAGGUGAGCGCCAGCAGCUCGCUCUGCUAGGAUCAUUUGCAGAGACAGGCGUUACGGCAUUGUUUGCGAGGUGGAAUCUGUUGCAGAUGUCUCUCUCAUUUCUGCGAGCCUGUGCCCUUGCUUGUCGCAACAGGACGCUGGCGGCGUGGCGGUAUGGCAGUCCCUCCUGCAGAUGGCCCUGGACAAGUCGGCACACGCGCUGAUCGACUGCGGAGCUCUGCUGGCGGGCACAACCAACAGGUGGGCAACGGACUGGGCAACGGACUGCUGGCGAGGCAUCCAGCUCGUGCUCCAUACUAAGUGGACAAGCAAUCAAGGCCCUUGCCAACCUGCUGAUAAUCGCCAUAUUUGCGCCUGUCCCUCUGCGCACACAGGCAUGCCGCGGAGUUCCUGCUCGCCGAUCCGCGCCUGCAGCAGCUCGGCUUCCGGGGCGUCACAUUCUACGCCGAGAGGGAGCGCGGCUGGGCGGUGCUGGAGCUCACCGGCCGCUGCCUGCCCCGCUCCAGCUCGCCGCUGCAGGAGCACGAGACGUUUGUUAUCUAUGAUGAGGCGCGCUGCCGCGGCGCGGACCUGAAGCUGAAGCGGAAUGCGGUAGCGUUGCUCACGCUGGGGCCGCGCGUGUGCAAGGACAAGCUCAUGCAGGCGGCGGGGCGGCUGCGGCAGCUUGGCCGAGGCCAGGCACUCCGCUUUGCUGCGACGGCCGACAUUGCUGCCCGCGUGACAUUGCUGCCCGCGUGGCUGAGUGCCCGCGUGACAUUGCUGCCCGCGUGGCUGAGUACCCGCGUGACAUUGCUGCCCCCGUGGCUGAGUACUGCGGCUCCCGCAUCAGCCGGCGGUACAGCCAGCAGUGCUGCUGGCGCGUGCCCUCGCGCAGUCGACGUGCUGGCGUGGGUGAUGGGCAACACCGUGGACGCCAACCUGCACGGCGUGGCGCUGUGGGCAGCGCAGGGGCUGCAGUUUGCGACCGCGCUGGGCGCUCCGCAGCUCUCCCUGCAGGAGGAGGUGCUGGGGCUGGAGGAGCUUUAUGCGGGGAGCAAGGCGCCACGCCCGGUGGUGGCGGUGGUGGCGGCGGCGGCAGCCAAGCAGCUGCGUUGGCGUCAGAAGCAGUGCGGCUCAUCAGCAGGCGGCACGGCAGCCGGAGGACGGCGGAUGUACACAGCGGCAGAGCUGAUGGUUGAGAUCCAGGACCUGGCGGCACGCUACGGCGAGGGCCACACCGUGCGUGCCGGCAGCGGCGCGGACGACACGUGUGAGCGGGAGCUGGAGCUGGAGCAGGAAGAGGAAGAGGAGCAGGAGCAGGAACGGCAGGUUCCCAAGCAGCGGCCCGCGCCGGAGGCAGACUGGUCAUCGUACAGGUGUAUCAACUCCUCAACUAUGGACCAACUCACAUCCGAAACACGCUGUAGGCUGCUGCCACUCCGCGAUGCGGUGACCCGGCUGGACAGCCAGGACCCGGCGCAGCCCAUGGCGGCCCUGCCCUGGUCGGACAAGGUGUACGUCAGCCACAACUACCUGCACGCCAUUGCGGGGCUGCCGCCGGGCCAGCCGCUGAACGAGUACCUGCGGCCGGUGGGCUGGCUGCUGGUGCUCAAGCGCGGCGAGGUGCUGCUGCUGUCGGAGCGCGAGGCAGACCAGCUGCUGGCAGCGACCUGGGCCGAUGCACCGGCCGCGAAGGGCACCACCAGCUUCCGCCACCGCCUGGUGCGCUACCUCGCGGACACCGCCUCGAAGCGGGGCCCACUGCUCGUGAGCCAGGCGUACGCGUGGCAGGCGGCGGCGGUGUCCUCGGCCACGCGGCCGCUGCUCGUCACCGACCUGGGUUUGACGACGGCCGGCAUUGUGCAGGACGCCGCGGACGCGUGGGCUGAGCUACGGCGGCGGCUGGGUGUUCGGGAGCUGGUAAGCGUGCGGGUGUUUGCCGGCGAGACCUCGUACCGGGUCACGCGACUUGCAGGUGCCAACGGCACCGCAGCCAGCAGCGGUUCAGCAGCCACGGCAGCAGUUGAGGCGGAGCUGCAGCGGCUGGUGGCGGGGCGGCGGCCGCAGGUGCAGCAGCUACUGGUGAUGCGCGGCCGUCAGUCGCAGAUGGCGCGCAGUGACCUGGAGAAGGCGGUGGAGGGGCUGCAGCUGCAACUGUAGAGAGGGGUUGCGUAUGCGCACCCCCGACGGCUGGCGCGGAUUGAUGGGGCUUGCGGCGGGGCUGGACGGUUAAGUUGUGGUUUGGUGAACUGACGUGGAGGGCUUGAACCUGAAUGCCAAACAGAUUAAGGGUUAGUGGCACUCCAUUGUGCAUGUUGCGUAUGCAAGUGGUGGAACAAGGGAUGCUCGGUACGCAUUGGAAAGUGGCUGGUGCGGCGAUGCAGGGUUGUUUGCGGGGCUGGACAGCAAGGCUGUUGUGAAGGGCAGCCUGUGAGUGCCAGUUGAGCGCGGUAGGCUUGGCUGCGAAGAGGUAUCGUUGCAGACACGUUGCCUACGUUGCUGAAGCCAACUAUGGAUUAGAGCUGUCGCUCGGCUGAUCGAGAGAAUGGUUGAUUGUUGGAUAAACGUAGUGACUCAAUGCCACAGUGCGGCACUGGAAAGCGAUUGUGCACUUUACAGCACCUGAAAACGUGUCCGGAAUUAGCACCUGCUGGGGUGGCAGCCGAGGACCGUAUGUAGAGGCGGUAUACCUCUAGCCCGCCUUCACCCACGCCUCCAAUAGCUCGGACACAGCCGCCACGCCCCCCAGCCGCCCAUACCGCGCCCGCAGCGCCACCAGCAGCGCACCCGCCUCGUCUCGCCCCCACCCCGCCGCCACCAGCGCCCGCAGCUCCGCCUCCUCUUCCCCUGCCGCCACCUCUUCCCCUGCCGCCACAUCCUCUUCCCCCUGCCGCCUAGACCGCUGCCCAACCUCCUUACCGCCACCGGAGUCAAGCCCACUGGCCCGCCCUGCGCCCUGUCCUCGCCCCCGCAACCGCCGCAGCUCCUGCAGCACCCCCAGCGGACCCCCCUCCGCCGCCCCCGCCGCCGCCGCCGCCCCCUCCGCCGCCCCCUCCGCCGCCGCCAUGGCCGCCUCCACCGCGGCGUCCACGUGGAAGGCACUGCCCGGCACCGCCGCCGCUGCCAGGCCCAGUAGCCGCAGCCGCCGCGCCCGCAGCAGCCGCUCCUGCCGCGCCGCCCAGUCCGGCGCUGCUCCCACCACCGCCCCCGACUCCACUGCCUCCACGCCGCCAGCACACUCUUGCCCCUCCUGCACCUGGUUCUGCUGGCACUGGCGCUGAGAGGCCAUCAAUGCCACCCUUCGACACGUGAUGGACAGGUCCAGAGCGCCACUCACACAGAACUGCAGCCACCGCCCCUGCUCUGAGUCCUGAUGCUCUGCUGACGUCGGCGCAGCGCCCCCCAGCGCCGCGUCCACCUCCGCCGCCACCGCCUCCACCAGCCGGUCCAGAGCAUUCGCCAGCGCCAGCAGCUGCCCAGCGGCUGUGCUGCUGCCACUGCUCCCGCUACUGCCGCCACUGCUUGCCGCGAGCUCGCCUGCAGCCGCCGCUUCCUCCGCGCCUGCCAGCGCGGCUCCCAGCAGCUGAUCCACCCAGGCCGCCGCCGCCUCGUCACACACCAGCGCUUCGCCCUCGUCCUCCUCGCCCUCGCCCUCCUGCCCCUCGUCAAGCCCCUCCUCUUCCCCUUCCUCCUCGUCCGCCUCCGGCUCCGCCUCCACGCCUGCCGCCGCUCCCGACGCGACCAGCUGCAUGAGUCGGACCGCCGCCGGCGCCGCGCGCGAGUCCACUGCCUGCCAGGCCGCCAGCAGCAGUGCCGGCAGGCGCGGCCGCCGCCCCGCCGCCCCAGUGUCAGUGGCCAGCAGCAGCUGCUGCUGCGCCGCCGCCGCCGCCUGCUCCGCCAGCUGCUCCUCCAGGCAGCAGCGGCUGCAGGCGCACGUGAAGCCGUACUGGGCCUGCAGCGCGGCGCGACGCACCUGUGCAGCGCGUGUCGAGGCAGUGCGGGGGCGAUGCGGGGGCUUGACAUGGCACCAUACACUGGCAGUAUUGGCAGUAUGGGCACAUGCAUGGCCGCCACGCAGAUGGCGGCACUAGCAGCGGUGUUGCCCGGAGGCAGGGUGAUGUGCAUGGUUACAGUGGGUAUGCACCAGCCGCCCUGUGCUGCCUGCCGUACGCCCCGCCCGCUGCGCGCACGCACCUGCAGUGGCGCCGCCAGCUCCGGCCCCAGGUAGCUGUCACACACCUCCUCGCCCGCACGGAUGCGGCGAACUGCGCGCACCUGUGCAAAUGCGCGCCGCGUUCACCACACCCACAGCACCAUCACAGCACAUGCCGCACAUGCCACACAACAGACCGCACCGCUGCUACGAGCCCCACGACGGAGCCGACACGGCUGCACGCCCUCCCGAGGGCGCACGGCCCCACGGCCCCACAUACGCUCACCGGCACCAUUGCGCAAUGCAUCCCAGUGUGCCCUGUCCCCCGUCAGCCCCAUCUGGCUGGGCACGGGGACAUCAUUCCCGCGGGCCCCUCCAGGGCCCUCCCCGCCGACCCGUCCCCCCCUGCCCCGCUCCCCCGCACUCACCACCAUGGCCCUCCCCACCACGUACUGGCACACGGCCGGCGCACACGAGUGGUUCAUGAGCGCGUGCUCCGUCCACAACCCCGUGUGGCCGGGCCGCUCCCGCAGCAGCCGCCACCAGCGGCCCUGCGCGGCACUGCUGCCACCGCUGCUACUGCUGCCACUGGUGGUGCUGGCGGCAGAGGCGCUGCUGCUACUGCCGCCAGCGUCAGCGGCUGUGGCCGCCAGACGCAGGAAGGGCAGCGCCGCCAGCUCUGACAGCCCCUGCCGAGCCGCCCCCUCGGCGUCAGUAGUGCUACUGCCAAGACCGGCUGCUACUGCCGCCAACCCCAGCCCCUCCUCCGCGGCUGCCAUGCGCACCGCUGCUACAGCCGCCUCUGCCGCCGCAAUGCCGGCGGCUGGGUCCAUAGUGGCCUCGGAGAAGCAGUUGAGCUGUAGCAGCCUCAACACCCGGCUGUAGCUCAGCCCACCACCAUCACCGCCGCCACUGCCACCGCCGCCGCCAUUCCUGCCCGCUGGCUGUGCUACUGCCGCCGCGCCCUCAGGCUCCUGCCGCGCGGCUGUAGCAACAUCCAGCCGCUGCAGCUCCUCCAGCAGCGCACCUGCGUCCGCGAUGACGUGGUCACACGUACAUGGCAACGGUCCGGGACAAGCUAACACUUGGCAGACCUGACACGUGGGGUGUGACUUGGGCCCAGAGUUCCAGCUACCAACACCGACCACGGCCCCCACACUGCUGGCGGCCGCGGGCCACCUGCAUGCAGCGCAGCGGCCACCUCCUGCAGCCCGGCACCUCCCCCCCGCCAAGCCCUCCAUCCGCACACGCUCUCACCCACCCAUGUUGGGGCAGGCCUGCAGGCUGGCGGCACUGCCGUCAUAGCUCAGCGCCAGCAGCCGGCGCUGGGCGGCACUCAGGGGCGGGCCGCGCGUGAUGCGCCGAGCCAGCGCCUCCACCGGCGGAGCGUCGCCCUCAUCGCCCUCCUCCUCUUCCUCCUUAUCCUCCUCCUCCUCUUCUCCCUCCCCCUCCUCUUCUCCCUCCUCCCCCUCCCCCUCCUCCGCCUCCUCGCCCCGCCCGCCGCUGUACACGACCGCCACCGGCAGUGCCACCAGCACCAGGUCACCGGGGCGCAGCUCCCGCACCGCCACCAGGCCCCGGCCCCGGCCUGUGUGAGGGUGUGGAGAGGCGACCGAACGGAUGCGGGCGGGGAGGAAGGGGUUUAAGAGGCGGUGUUGGAGGCAGUUAAGCAUGUGCUGGAUACAUGUUGAAGGCACUGAGCGCUUGCCGGUACCAGUGCGUGCCUGUGUAAAAGGGACGGCUGGGCUCCCUUGUCUCAACCCCCCUGCGCCUCAGUCCAACCUGCCCUACACCCCUGACUUGCGCCGCGCCGCACCUGGCAGCUGCCUCAGCUCCACGGGGCCGUAGUGGCGUGGCAGAGCGCUGCACCGUCCGCCCGCACCACCACCCCUGCCCCUGUGAAAGCCGCCGCCGCCGCCGCCGCUGCUGGGUGCAGGGAAGAGUCUGCUCGAGCGGCUCUUUGGCCGUGCGGGCCAGGGACUACCAGUGAUUGCGGCCACUGACGCUGUGCUGGCAGCUGGGGGCAGCUGCUGGGGCCGCGUGGUGAUGCCAGCGGCGGCGGUGGCGGAAGAGAACGCAGCGGCAGCGGUGGCUGCUGCCGCUGGCCUGGCGCUGCGCGUGAACGUGCAAUGCAGCAGGCGCCAGCAGGCGCCUGGCGCCUGACGCGGAUUUGGUGCUGGUGCCGCCGAUUUGCAGCUCGGCAGCGUGCGGCUGGUCGGCAGCACAUGCCGCGAACCCGGGAGGCACGACGCGUUACUGGAGCCGCUGGCACUGGCACCACGUUGGGCGCCGACACCGCUGCUGCCGGCUGCGCAAUGCAUGACGGCGUUUGCACCAAUUACUCAGUCUAGCCGGCUUAUCACAACUUAGAUUGUGCUAGCCCGACGAUGUUCUUUAGCUUGGCAGCUGCAAAGCGCACAUGGUCACAGUCACGAAUGAGUCCCCCAAUUCUUGUCAUGGCAUGCAGCGGCCUAGCUUCAACUUGCAUUCGGGUAGUUCUGUUCCAUGGCACACAGUGUAAAGCUUCAUGUUAUUAAUGACGAUAGGCAAAUUGUCUUGCCGAGUGAAACUGGAUCCACCUGCUGUCCCCAUCGUCCUUCAGGUGAUUUCGGUUGAGCCACAAGGGGUUUCCUGAAGGUGGCAUGAGGGGCAGUCAUGGCCGGGAGUCCAACCGAGUUCCAGGCUGCACGCGCUGGUAUGACUGCGGGUUUAGACCAGACCUGGUUCCGACCGGCGUGUGCUGACUGGCACGCCCUUCCCCCUCCCCUGCAACGUCAUCCAAUGCAGGGCAUGUCUACACCGGCUUUGCACUCCAAUAAACUUCGCCAGCUCCUCCAUUGCUGACAUUAGGUUACAUACCACAUCACGAGAGCUGCGGCACCAGUCAGGCCACGGGAGCCCACUUGCACGCAAGCGAGAGUCUUUUGCCCGCCGAGGUCCUGGCGCAUAUUGCAUGCUACACGGCUCGCUAUAACUCACAAGUCCCUAACCGACGUGAACUAUCGUGUGCUCGUCUGCAAAUGGAGCCCGAGAUGCCUGCAAUCCUCCCGAAUUUGCCGAACUCUGUGCUCACUUCAAUCUUCAACAAAAUUAUAAGGAUAUCCAAUCCCGGCCAGCUCGUCAAGCUUUCGCUGGUGCGAUUCGGGCCAGCGCGCCCCUCCUCCUCGCUGGGCACACUCAGUCCUCAGCCACGGUCCACUCUGUGCUGACACUGUUGCCGCCAGCUGCCAUCAACAAGCUACGCUCCCCGUCGCAGGCAUGUCGCAGCCUGCGUGAAGCGGUCGUUCGCGCCGAGGGGCUGUGGGAGCGGCUCUGUGUCAAGCAAGGAUGGAGGUGCGGGCACAACACGCCUGCUGCAGUCUGGUGCCCUUGAUUCGUUGUCACCUAACGAACUAGCGCGUGUGUGCGUCUCUGCGACCCCUUGUGCAGCCAACGCCAGCGCCUGCCUCGGCCGCUGCCGCCGCUCGAGUUAGCGCAACCGGGACCUGAGGAGGCCGGCAGCAGCGUAGGUGGCGGUGGAGGCACCGCUACUGCUGGUGCUACAGCCACCGCCCCUGCCGCCACGCCAGCGGCGCAGAGCCUGCCCCUGUCCCUGUCGGACCUGGACCUGCACUGGUACCUGUACUAUGCCCGACGCAUGAUGCUGCGGCGCGACGUGCGGUGAGGCCUUGGGGGCGUGAGGGGGCGGGCGUGCGGCUUAGGGUGAUCACCGGUGGGACGGGAAGGGCGUGGCGCUGCGGCGGUUGACAGGAGGACAGCAGAUGACCAUGACCUUGGCACCGCGGUGCGCCAUCAAGCACUCGCCUCGCAGGCGAUCAGUUGCACCCAGGCAAAUCCUACCCACGCGCGCUGCCCCCGCCCCCAGGCGCCUGUUCAAGCUGUACGAGCGCUUCAUGUCGCGGCCUGGCAGCAUGGCGCUGUGCCCGGGUGGGUCGGGUGGGUGACCGUGGGUGGGUGGGCCAGUGCGCGAGAUGGCGAGUGGGCGGGCUAGCGCACUGCGUAUGUGCCGUGCCGCAUAUAACUGAUAUGCAGCAAUAGGUUUACUUGGUGAUCGCCGGUCCUGCCUUGCGUGAUUUAAGGUAGUUUUUGACGUACCUGUAGUUCCUUGAUGUCUGCACACGCUGCCGCCCAGUCCACAUCCGCACGGCCACACCCCUCCUUGGCACGCACCCGAGGUGCUCCCCCGGCGGCUCUCCUCCGGAGUGUGCAGGGGCGUCGCCGGAGGAUUUGGCCGCGGCGGAGCAGGCGCUGGGGCUGGCGGGCGGUGCCGGCAGCGCCGGAGGCGGCAGUGGCGGCAGUGGCGGCGGUGGCGGCGGUGGCGGCGGUGGCGGCGGUGGCGGCGGUGGCGGCGGUGGCGGCGGUGGCGGCGGUGGCGGCGGUGGCGGAGGCGGGCUGCCUGCCGAGGUGUGGGAGCUGUACCGGCACCGCAGCGGCCAGGCGCCGGGGGCGUUCGUGACGUUCGUGGACGACAUGCGGCUACUGGGUGGGUGCGGGCUGAAAGGGGAGGGCAGGCCAUGAACUGACCUCCGGGCCACUCGUCUAGUCCUCUUGCACAUCGCGAAAGUGUAGGGAAUGCCUUGUCCUAUUUACAUACCGUACAGCCCCAACGCACUUCCUCAACGUCGCCGCCGCCGCGCCCAGGCCUCCACGAGCUGGCCGUGGAGGCGGCGCCGGGGCUGCCGGAGCUGCAGCAGCGGCUGGCGGCACUGGGCAGGCAGCACAGCCCGCAGCCGCAGCGCCCGGCACUGCCCGCAGCCGCAGCCGCAGCCUCCACCGCCGGCCCGGCGGCAGCCGGAGGGGAAGCAGCUGCCUCCACCGCCGCUGCAGCAGCAGCAGCAGUAUCAGAAUCGGCCUCAGCAGUAGCGCCAGCUGCACCCGCACGCACGCGGCCCGGCGGCGACUCGCAAGGGGCGCAGCAGCCAGAGCCGCAUGCGGCGCCAGCAGCCGGGGGCGGCACGGCCGGUGGCCCAGGCGGCCCGGUGCAGCCCACAGGCCUCGUGCCCGGGAGUGACACCUACGGCAGUGGCAGCGGCAGCGGCAGUGGCACCGCCGGCGGUGUGGUUUCGCCGGCAGGCGGCGGCGGGGCGCUGCUGGCAGGGGGCCGCCCGCAGCUUGACCCGCUGUCAGAUGAGCGGGUGGUGGCCAUCGCCGCCAACGCCAGCGGCUCGCGGCGCUUCCUGGUGGCGGUGGGCACAGGCCACGUCUACAUCGCCCGAGGUAGGGAUGGGAGGAGCUGGUCUGGCGGCUGGCUGGUCUGGCGGCUGGCUGGGGUGGUGUGGUGGUGGUCUGGUGGCGGCUGGCUCCGUGGGUGGGAACAGCACCUGUGUUCGUUGUUAUGUCCUAGCCAGGCCCCUUUGUCACCAACGGUUUCGCCCCCGCUCCCCCGCAUGAUCCCGCCUGGCUCAGGCCUGUCGCUCGUCUUCUACGCGCCCGGCGUGGCGGCGCUGCUGCAGAAGCUGCUGACCUAGGGCCGGCGGGUGCGCACCAGUGGCGGGGUGUGAGGCGGGCGGCGCCGGCAGGUGUGUCGACACGGCGGCGGGGCGACACAGCGUGCCGCCGCGAGCCCCACGGGAGAGCACACGCACUGUGCAGCAUAGCAGCGGAGGAGCGUAGCCUAUGCCAGGCUACCUAGCGGCCUGUUCAGGUCUGGAUUGCGUGCGGGUGGGGCGCAGCGCCUGGGCGAAGGGAGGCUGAGGCCCCCGGUUAUCCCCGAGACCCGAGAACAUGUAAACACCGCGGACGACAAUCAAGAGGCAGGCUGAUGUGAUGGUAACGUAACGGAUUUGUUAGGUCAGGGGCAGAGAAGUUGUUACCAGGUUAAGAGUGUGUUGCCGGGGGCAUGUCGGCGAGCAAGGGUGGAGUUGUCGGGACCCUUGAGGGGGAAAGUGCGGGAUUUGCUCAUGCGGCGUGCCAAGCCCAGGUCGUGUAACCGCCGCUUGCCUUCCACAGCCAAAUCUUCAUUCAUUGUCAACAUUUUACAGACCUGGACAUAUAGCACAACUCUAGCGGUUGUGGGUCCGCUUCCUUUCGUGUCGAGAACCGAAUCAACAACGACUCCUUUUACAAACACGCUAGCCUUCGGGGCACCGCGCCAGCAUGCAUAGCCCAUUAAGCCCGUCAGGGCUGGGCACACAACGCUCGCCGGUGGCUCGCGGUCGCGGUCGCAAGCAUGUCGCCGGAGUCGUGAAAGGAGCGGGGCCUAUGAGCCCGCGACACAUGUCCAAGCAAGCAUUUUACAUGGUAAAAUGCACAAUGCGUUCAGGGAUACUACUUGAUGCUGCGGACGCCAUGCGGGGGAUGCUGAAGCGUCGCGAGCUUAGUUUUGUAGCGCCUGCACAGCCUUAAACAUGCAGCCUUGAAAAUUCUGGUUAUGGGCAGUGCCGGCUCGGCUCCGCAUGGCCGCGCCCGCCCUUGUUCCUCGAGACGCUUUGCUUUAUGCCGAGCGCUGUCGCAGCAAUAUGGGGAUGUGUUCAGAUACAUAAUGGGCAUAGUUGACGACCGACCCAGCUGUUCGUCGCUCGCCGGGCAAGUGCUGCUAACACUAGCUACACACUCACAUGUGCAAGCAUCCUGGCCGAACCGCUGCAGCACGCGCUGCCGGAAUCCUGUGUACGUGUUAAGCACCAUCAUGUCCCUUAUACGCGCAGAGUCCGACACGUGGCCCUUCUGCAACGCCUGCGGCGACCGGGCCGGGUGCCGAGGGUGCGGGGCUGGACAUUGCCGCACUGUUCCGGAGGGUUUUGAGCAACGGUGUCCAGGUGCGGGGCCAUUUCGGGUUGACGGCGCUGGUGGGGGGGCUGGACACGGAUGGGUUGUGUUGGUACCCGCGACAGCGCGGGUUGAGCAACGAGUGCCCGGGUUUACGGUACACGCGCGCGUCGAUCGGCCACACAGGCUGUUGUAAGGGUGGCCGUGCUGUCGCAGGCUGCACAGCAGCGCAGUGCCCACGUGUCAGGCCGCUGUGCUGCCAGGUCGCUGCAGCGUCAAUGACAUUUACGCAUAAUGCGGUCGCAUCAUGGCCACACAGGCCCCUCGGGAAAGGUUUGCCAGCUCCCCGUCCUUUCAACCGCCCCCCGUUGCCCCCGCCCUCUCCCGUGCCAUCCAUGCACUCCCCCAACAGGAUGACAGCGCCGUGGCAGCCUCCGCUCCGCACACCGUCACGGCUGCUGACGCCUACGCCCACACCGCCGCCCAGUACGGCAUGCCGCCGGGGCCCUUCGCCUCCACCGCCACCUCCGCCUUCUCCAGCGGCGCCGGCGGCGGCGGCGCGCAGCCGCUGGCGUCCCUGGCAGACCAGGUUCUGGCAGACGCCGCCGCCGCCGCCCACGGCGAGGACCCGGUGGCGGCGGCCCGGCAGCUGCAGUCCUUCCUGGGCCAGUACCAGCACCAGUACGGCGCGGAGACGGACGCGCGCAUCGGCGCCGCCAUCGCCAAGCUGCAGGACUACAUCGACGGCGCCGCCGCCGGAGGCGGCGGCGGCAGCGCCGCCGGCCUGCGGGACGCGCUCGGCGCCUUUGGCGCCGCCGACACGUCAGCGUCGGCGGCGGCGGCAGCCGCCGCCACUGGCGCCGCCGCCGGCGCCUCCGGCGGCGGUGGCGAGGCCCCCGUGUACCACAACUACAUCCUGGAGCAGCUGACGGGGGUGUUGGACUGGGUAAACAACCUGCUGGUGAGGAACGGCACGCCCAAGCCGUUCGUGUACGACGCCUACGGGCGGGUGGUGGAGGACGCGGGCGCGGCGGCCUCGGUGGAGCAGCAGCAGGAGCAGCUGCGCGCGGCGUCGCAGUCGCUGCGGCUGCUCAUCCAGCAGCUGCAGCAGGUGUGGGGGAGCGGGAGGGGGCGGAGGCAGGGGCCCCCGGGGGUGUUGUCCUGGAGUUGGAUUGUCGACAAGGUCAGGGCAGGGUGUGUGCACUUGGGCCUGCUGGGUCGCCGCCUAGCCAGGCUGCCGUUGGUGGGGUUGCCGAAGGUCUGGGGUCGCAUGGCACUAAGGUGCGGAGGGCGGGUUGCCGGCUUUUUGGUGGCUAAGGCGGCGUGACAUCCCAAACCCCAGCGCAACCCAACCCACCCUUCAUCACCGCCUCCCCCCCCCACACACACCCAGGUGAACACCCAGUACGCGGCCAUGGCCGACAGCGAGGAGCGCGCCACCAUGGGCCAGGUGCUGACGCAGCUCAACACCAUGGCGGACCGCCUGGCGGUGGCAGCCACCCGCCGCCCGCUGCCGCACCUGGAGCCCGGCGCCGCGGUGGGGCUGGACCUGGCGCCCUACGUGCCGCCGGAGCAGGUACAGGAGGUAACUCCUGACGCGAGCUGCUGCGUGUAGGGGAGGAGGGGGCUGCAUGGCGUGCCGGGGCGUGUCCGUAACCCUGCAGCCGUGUCGCUGAAUUCGACCUCCCUCACCUGACCAGUCCACUUGGCCUGCGCCGCCCCUCACCGUGCCUCCCCAUCUCUCUGCCCUCCCCAUCUCUCUGCCCUCCCCUCCCCCCCCCUCCCCUGCAGCUGUACGGCGUGGACAAGUACCGCGACCCGGUGCUGCGUGUGCUGGACGGCAUCUACAGCGCCGUGGUGGUGGACAGCGGCCUGCGCGAGUUCCUGGCGGGAGUCAAGCAGCUGGGCGACAGCCUGGCGGACAGCAUGGCCGUGGUGGGUGCCGGGGGGGGGGCGGGGCGGCAGUGUGCUGCAUGAGCGCGGUAGGACGUUUGAUAGGCUGGUAGGGGCCGCGGGACAAGGGAGCGUGUGUGGGGUAGGAUGUCGGUAGGGGGCACACGCCAACACGCGUGAUAGGCUUUGCAGUAGCCCCACCACACCACACUGCAUACCCUCACAUGCACACCGCUCUACGGUGCCCUUUUGCUGCCCUCUGUUCACCCUGCGCCCGCUUUCGCAAACGCGCACGCGUGCGCGCACACAGGCGUGGACGGGCGCUCCUCCUGUGGGCCGCCUGGUCGCCUACAUCGCGGCGGUGGCGGGCGUGCUGUUCGUGAUGCGCUCCAAGCUGCCCAGGGCGCUGCUGCAGCCCACCUCGCCCGGCGGCAGCUGGCUGCAGCAGCUGGGCGGCGGCCGCGGCGACAACCCCCUCCACGACGGCGGCGCAAACACCAGCAGCAGCACCGGCACCGGCAGCAGCAGCGUGAUGGGGUUGGUGGAAGCGCCGGGCACCUUCGCCUCUCUGGGCGGCAGCGCGCGCACGGCGCAGAGUCGGCUGGCGGGCAUGGACCGCGACGGCGGGCUGGGCGACACGCGGCUGCCGUCCGAGGUGCUGGCCUCGGGCGACCCCUACGCGGCACGCAAGGUGCUGUUCGACACCACAGCCUCAUCCGUGCCCUCCGGCGGAGGCAGCAGCAUCGCCGGCGGCCAGGCGGCGUCCGUGGCGGCGGCGGGGCGGCAGCGCAGCGCGGCGGCGGCGGUGGCCACGCCGGCGUUGCCAGGCGGCGGCAAUGGUGCCGGCCAGUACUCGAGCGGCAGCAUCCCCAGCCUGCCCAAGCCGCCCCCCGGCGGCUGGAACAGCAACUACAGCGACCGCGCGGACUGGUGGACCGCCGGCCAGACGGCACAGCAGCAGCAGCCGCCAGCAGCUGCGGCGCCGCCGCCACCACCGCCGCAGCCCCGCACUGUGGCGGAGUCCUGGGAGGCCUUCCGCCGCAGCACCGGCGGCCUCGGCGCUAGCGCCGAGCCCGCCUCCUCGGCCUCGUACUCCGCCGCCGCCAACCCCUCCGGCGGCGUGCUGGACGCCACCGCCGCGCUGGCGGCGGCCGCGGUCGCCGCCGCCGUGGGCAACAGCACCGGCGCCCCCGGCGGCGGCCGCGGCGGCCCCGGCGACCCCAAGCUGGCGGAGUUCAGUCGCGCCACUGAGGAGAAGCGCAUCGGCCGCGACCGGGCGCGGGUGCGCGCCACCAUCAAGGACCGGCUGCGCUGGCUGGUGCGCGCGCUGGGCCCCGUCACCAGCGUGGUGCCGGGCGGCGAGCCGCUGCGCGAGGAGGUGGACGGCCUGCUGUCGCAGCUGGAGGCGCUGUCGCCCACCGACAAGCCGCUCAACACCAGCGUGGACGCAGCCGCUGCCGGCUACGGCGGCGCCGCCUACGGCGGCGGUAGCGCUGGUGGUUAUGGUGCGGGUGGGUACGGGUACGGGGCCGUGCGGGCGCCUGCGGCGUCCGUGGACCCCGACCUGCUGGGCGAGUGGCGGCUGGUGUACGCCUCCAACGCCGGCUCGGCAGCGGGCGCGCCGUCGGCCGCCUCGCAGGCGGCCAGCGGCGGUCCCAACCUGCUGGCGCAGGUGCUGCAGCUGGCCGACUCGCUGCCGGGCUUCGGCAUGACGCACGUGCUGCAGCGCCUGUCGCUGGAGGAGACAGCAGCAGGCGGCGCCGCGCCCGCCUACGCCGCCUCCAGCGCCGCGUACGGCGCCGCUGGCGCGGCUGCGCCGCACUCGGCGGCGGUGGUGGUGACGGAGAACAGCGCGGUAUUCCGGUUCGGGCCGCUGGGCUCGUGGCGCGUGACGGUGAAGGGGCGCUGGAUGGACAACGGCGGCGGCAUGUGCGCGGCGGCGGAGUUCGAGUCGUUCGGCGUGCGGCCGGUGGACCUGUGGGGGCUGUCGGUGGAGGCGCUGCUGCCCGAGGUGACGGUGCCGGUGCCUGAGGUCCUGCGCAGCCGCAGCGAGUGGUGCACCACCUACCUGGAUGAGGACAUGCGGGUGGGGCGCGGCAGCGGCGGCGCGCUGUUCCUGUUCCGGCGCGGCGGCGCGGACGACGUCACCGAGGCGGCGGGCGCCAUGGGCGGCAGCCUGGGUGCGGGCUCCGGCAUGGGCAUGGGCUUGGGCGUGGGCUUGGGCGCGGUGGCUGCGGAUGCCCGCGCGCCGGUGAUGCGGCCGCUGUGAGGCGCGUGGGAGGAGGGGCGGGUGGCAGGAGGGAAGUGGAGCCUGGCGGCCGGCGCCGCGGGUGUGUAGCGGUGUGCCCGUGUGUGUGCGGGUGCGUGUACGUGUACGUGUACGUGUACGUGUACGUGUACGUGUACGUGUACGUGUACGUGUGUGUGUGUGUGUGUGUGUGUGUGUGUGUGUGUGUACAUGUGUGUGUGUGUGUACAUGUGUGUGUACAUGUGUGUGUACAUGUGUGUGUACAUGUGUGUGUACAUGUGUGUGUACAUGUGUGUGUACAUGUGUGUGUACAUGUGUGUACCUGUGUGUACAUGUGUGUACAUGUGUGUGUGUGUGUUGAGGUGGGCAUGGUGUGGCUGUGUGGGCGAGGAGGAGCACAGCGCUUCCAUCCGGCACUUGUGAGACAUGUCACAAUUUAUCAUCAUUUUAUCGCGGCAGGCAGUCCUAUGCAUGAGCAAUUCAUGGCGGUGCGCAUGGCGUGGAAUGGAGUGAAUUGAUGUUGUCAGGGGGCUGGUUGCAAUGGCCGAUACCGGUACCUGUGGUCCUGUGCGUCUCUGCGUGUCCUGUACAGUGUAUUCCCCCAAAUGGAUAGGGAGGGCAUGGUUGCAGGCCUGGCCAGAUCAGGUGUCUGGGUUUUAUCCCUCGCCUGCGUGUGCGUGCUUGUAUCUAACUGUACCACUUCAAUUAGGUCAAGGUUACCUGGCCCCUGUAGAGACGUGGAGGCUCAGACAAUAAGACAAUUGGUCUUAGCUCAAUGCAAACAGUGCAAAGAUUGAUUACAUUUGCUGAGUCUGCUUGUGGACAGAGAGAUGUGCGGUGUGAGGACUGUCGGCAGGAGCAUUGAUAGUAUGACAGUGGAGCGUGAAGAGGGAGAGGGACGGAGGGAGGCUGCGUGGUGCUGGCAGAGGGACGGAGGACGAGGUGGGCACCAUGCGGCCUUUGCAAUGCAUUCAAAGCUUCGCCCAAAGCCUUAACUUAUCAGGAUACCGUAUUGCUUGAAGCAGGAGUGCCGUCGCUGGUCACGCAACUUAAGAGAACUGCAGGGAAACAAGCAUCGAACCGGGGGUCGUGAUGGAGGCAUAGAUUUUGCUCUUGCGGCUCCUCGGGCGCCUGGUACACAGGGACACUUUAUCAGUGCACGAUAGCUAUAAGACGAAACAAUAUGGUGGUUUGCCUCGGUGCAGAGAACAGCAGUGCUGACAACUGAGCGCUCCCAAUUGUUGCCUUCUCUCCUACUGGAACUAUGACCGAGCCAAGCACCAGUGGCAAGCGCCAUAGAGAGGAUGAAGGUGUUGGAAACCUCGGCUGGCUGGCGAGCAGCGGUAUGCUGCCUCGCAAGCGGCAAGACAUUUCGGGAGUCGGCAAUGCGAGCAUUAUGGAGCUACAAGCACAACUUUAUCGCACGCAAGAAAAUGUGAAAUUGAAAGCAAGUGGCGUCGAGGUCCCCGACCGGCGAACUUCGGGGUUCAACGUCGCAUCGCUUAUGCAGCGACGAAACACGGGCGUGGAAGAGCGCGAUCGACGGGACAAGCUUGAAGUCAAGGUGAGGCGGGGUCUGGGAGUCCGCAAAUGCGACGUAGGGGCGGUGCUACGCUUGACGCGGACACUGGCCUCAGCAGUUCUGGACGACGCCCCGCGCGGUUUCCCCUCCACGCCCCUCCCGCACAGACCACCGCUGACCGCGUCGGGGAGUGUUACGCCGCGCUAGAGCGCAAGGCGCAACUAUACGAGAAACUAGGUAGGCGCUGCGACUGCUGCAGCCGUGCGCCGUGAACAAUGCCACACGGCACCACUGCCAUCCCUACCCCGCCAUUCCACCACGGCCACGUUGCACACCCCUCGCCGUCGAUGUAUGCGGACUCGCACAGGCUGUCCAGCUCGCCAUCUUCCACACGGCUACCAUAUGCCUGUACAAACUCCCUCGACCCUUUGCCAGCCCUAUCUACCCAUUGAUCGCUGUGCUUCUGCUCGACCGCUGUUCCGCUGCUGUUGCUGCUGCUGCUGCUACUGCUGCUGCUGCCGCAGCUCGCGGCGAGUUGGACGACGAGGGCGAGCAGUACGAGGUGGACUUCCUGCGCAAGGGCGGGGCGGCGGAGGAGGAGGCGGGUGGAGGCGAGGGCCGGCGCGGCGGCGACCUGGUGGACACCAUGCUGCAGGCAGUGUCGGGGACAGGUGAGGCGGGGGCGGAUGGGGGCAAGGAGUCCACGGGCCUUGUAGUCGGACUGCCCGAGCCGCCACCCUGACGGAGAGGGUCAACAAGUGUGUGCUGCGGCUGACCUGUCGGCAGAGCGUGUUGCUGCUGUUCGGCGCUCGGCCCGCGGGAUCUCACCACCCUCAGCCCCCGCCGCUGCUCGGCUGCAACCAUUGAGGCAGGACAGCAAGGGUUUAGGCAGGGUAGUAUGGACUGAGGCAGGGUAAUGCGGACUGGGCAAGGCAACCACCCGACACAUAGCGUGUCCCGGUCUAUUGUAUUCUUCUCUUGUGCGGAGACCGCACGUCUGAACCGCUCCUACUCCGCGCUGCACUUGCGCUCCUGACCACCUCCUGGCCACCUGUCGGCAUGCGGCCCCGCACACAGGCGGCAUGAUGACUGCGGACAUGGCGCGGGAACGGGAGCGGCGCGACUGGGAGCGGGACCAGCAGCGCAUCAUGGCGGACGAGGAGGCGGAGGAGCGGAGGCGGAAGCAGAAAGAGGUGCGUCCAACACAAGCGGAGGUCGGGGACCAAUGGCACCAUUGUUGUAUGCUGUUUAACCCGGGUUACCCUAUGCCGGCGAUGCUGCCUGUGAGCAGUUGAUAAGCAGUGCCUAACCUGCGGUGGCACGUCGUCGCAUGCGGUUUGCACAGGCGCUGCUUUGGCUUGUGGGGGCUGUCGGUGGAGGCGCUGCUGCCCGAGGUGACGGUGCCGGUGCCUGAGGUCCUGCGCAGCCGCAGCGAGUGGUGCACCACCUACCUGGAUGAGGACAUGCGGGUGGGGCGCGGCAGCGGCGGCGCGCUGUUCCUGUUCCGGCGCGGCGGCGCGGACGACGUCACCGAGGCGGCGGGCGCCAUGGGCGGCAGCCUGGGUGCGGGCUCCGGCAUGGGCAUGGGCUUGGGCGUGGGCUUGGGCGCGGUGGCUGCGGAUGCCCGCGCGCCGGUGAUGCGGCCGCUGUGAGGCGCGUGGGAGGAGGGGCGGGUGGCAGGAGGGAAGUGGAGCCUGGCGGCCGGCGCCGCGGGUGUGUAGCGGUGUGCCCGUGUGUGUGCGGGUGCGUGUACGUGUACGUGUACGUGUACGUGUACGUGUACGUGUACGUGUACGUGUACGUGUACGUGUGUGUGUGUGUGUGUGUGUGUGUGUACAUGUGUGUGUGUCUACAUGUGUGUGUACAUGUGUGUGUACAUGUGUGUGUACAUGUGUGUACCUGUGUGUACAUGUGUGUACAUGUGUGUGUGUGUGUUGAGGUGGGCAUGGUGUGGCUGUGUGGGCGAGGAGGAGCACAGCGCUUCCAUCCGGCACUUGUGAGACAUGUCACAAUUUAUCAUCAUUUUAUCGCGGCAGGCAGUCCUAUGCAUGAGCAAUUCAUGGCGGUGCGCAUGGCGUGGAAUGGAGUGAAUUGAUGUUGUCAGGGGGCUGGUUGCAAUGGCCGAUACCGGUACCUGUGGUCCUGUGCGUCUCUGCGUGUCCUGUACAGUGUAUUCCCCCAAAUGGAUAGGGAGGGCAUGGUUGCAGGCCUGGCCAGAUCAGGUGUCUGGGUUUUAUCCCUCGCCUGCGUGUGCGUGCUUGUAUCUAACUGUACCACUUNNNNNNNNNNNNNNNNNNNNNNNNNNNNNNNNNNNNNNNNNNNNNNNNNNNNNNNNNNNNNNNNNNNNNNNNNNNNNNNNNNNNNNNNNNNNNNNNNNNNACGCGGACACUGGCCUCAGCAGUUCUGGACGACGCCCCGCGCGGUUUCCCCUCCACGCCCCUCCCGCACAGACCACCGCUGACCGCGUCGGGGAGUGUUACGCCGCGCUAGAGCGCAAGGCGCAACUAUACGAGAAACUAGGUAGGCGCUGCGACUGCUGCAGCCGUGCGCCGUGAACAAUGCCACACGGCACCACUGCCAUCCCUACCCCGCCAUUCCACCACGGCCACGUUGCACACCCCUCGCCGUCGAUGUAUGCGGACUCGCACAGGCUGUCCAGCUCGCCAUCUUCCACACGGCUACCAUAUGCCUGUACAAACUCCCUCGACCCUUUGCCAGCCCUAUCUACCCAUUGAUCGCUGUGCUUCUGCUCGACCGCUGUUCCGCUGCUGUUGCUGCUGCUGCUGCUACUGCUGCUGCUGCCGCAGCUCGCGGCGAGUUGGACGACGAGGGCGAGCAGUACGAGGUGGACUUCCUGCGCAAGGGCGGGGCGGCGGAGGAGGAGGCGGGUGGAGGCGAGGGCCGGCGCGGCGGCGACCUGGUGGACACCAUGCUGCAGGCAGUGUCGGGGACAGGUGAGGCGGGGGCGGAUGGGGGCAAGGAGUCCACGGGCCUUGUAGUCGGACUGCCCGAGCCGCCACCCUGACGGAGAGGGUCAACAAGUGUGUGCUGCGGCUGACCUGUCGGCAGAGCGUGUUGCUGCUGUUCGGCGCUCGGCCCGCUGGAUCUCACCACCCUCAGCCCCCGCCGCUGCUCGGCUGCAACCAUUGAGGCAGGACAGCAAGGGUUUAGGCAGGGUAGUAUGGACUGAGGCAGGGUAAUGCGGACUGGGCAAGGCAACCACCCGACACAUAGCGUGUCCCGGUCUAUUGUAUUCUUCUCUUGUGCGGAGACCGCACGUCUGAACCGCUCCUACUCCGCGCUGCACUUGCGCUCCUGACCACCUCCUGGCCACCUGUCGGCAUGCGGCCCCGCACACAGGCGGCAUGAUGACUGCGGACAUGGCGCGGGAACGGGAGCGGCGCGACUGGGAGCGGGACCAGCAGCGCAUCAUGGCGGACGAGGAGGCGGAGGAGCGGAGGCGGAAGCAGAAAGAGGUGCGUCCAACACAAGCGGAGGUCGGGGACCAAUGGCACCAUUGUUGUAUGCUGUUUAACCCGGGUUACCCUAUGCCGGCGAUGCUGCCUGUGAGCAGUUGAUAAGCAGUGCCUAACCUGCGGUGGCACGUCGUCGCAUGCGGUUUGCACAGGCGCUGCUUUGGCUUGUGGGGGCUGUCGGUGGAGGCGCUGCUGCCCGAGGUGACGGUGCCGGUGCCUGAGGUCCUGCGCAGCCGCAGCGAGUGGUGCACCACCUACCUGGAUGAGGACAUGCGGGUGGGGCGCGGCAGCGGCGGCGCGCUGUUCCUGUUCCGGCGCGGCGGCGCGGACGACGUCACCGAGGCGGCGGGCGCCAUGGGCGGCAGCCUGGGUGCGGGCUCCGGCAUGGGCAUGGGCUUGGGCGUGGGCUUGGGCGCGGUGGCUGCGGAUGCCCGCGCGCCGGUGAUGCGGCCGCUGUGAGGCGCGUGGGAGGAGGGGCGGGUGGCAGGAGGGAAGUGGAGCCUGGCGGCCGGCGCCGCGGGUGUGUAGCGGUGUGCCCGUGUGUGUGCGGGUGCGUGUACGUGUACGUGUACGUGUACGUGUACGUGUACGUGUACGUGUACGUGUACGUGUACGUGUACGUGUACGUGUACGUGUACGUGUGUGUGUGUGUGUGUGUGUGUGUGUGUGUGUGUGUACAUGUGUGUGUGUACAUGUGUGUGUACAUGUGUGUGUACAUGUGUGUGUACAUGUGUGUACCUGUGUGUACAUGUGUGUACAUGUGUGUGUGUGUGUGUGUGUUGAGGUGGGCAUGGUGUGGCUGUGUGGGCGAGGAGGAGCACAGCGCUUCCAUCCGGCACUUGUGAGACAUGUCACAAUUUAUCAUCAUUUUAUCGCGGC